rnacentral:tRNA from 1 species
GAUUAAAUGGCUGAAUUUAGGUAAUAGACUGUAAAUCUAUUUAUGAGAAUUUAUUUCUCUUUAAUCA